AUCGUGCGCCUAAGGAUGGCAAGAUUUAUCGAUGGGUGUGGUGUUUACCUUGACUCCUCCAGAAAACGUCAAGGCGAGAAGAAACCAUCUAGUUGGCACAAGUCAAGUCACGCGCUCGUGUGGUCAAACACCGAGUCAUUCUAGGUCCUAACCAAACCAGCCGGUGUUUGACCACACAGGCGUCACUUUGACUCGUGCCAACUAGAUGGUUUCUUUCCGCCUUGUCAUUUCUGCAUAAGAUGGCCAUCUUCACGCCCAUCGACAACUUUUGCCAUCCUUAGGAGCGCGAC